rnacentral:lncRNA from 1 species
GACUUGACAUGAUUCUUCUUUCUUCGACGAAUCCGUAGCUUCUGAUCGUGCGGCGUUUGGAGUCCAAACGAUCGAGUUAUGCUCCAAUUUCUUAUUUGCAACAAUCUGAGACUUACAAGGUCAAAAACGUUGCGCUAGUCCUCUAACGGCUCUGUAACUAACCCGGAACUUCCAGAUGUUGUCAAAUUUAACCCAAUUCCUUAAAUGUAAACUAUUCAAAAGUUCAGUGCUACGGAAUUAAGACUUAAGAUAAACCAAAUUCCAGAAUAGUCAAUUAUCUUUCUAACUUGCAGGUCGGGUCACUGAACUCCUCCAUGAUUGCGGGGAGGUCACCCUUCUUCUCCGGUGAUGCUGGUCGCCUCCGGCGACAAAACCCAGAAUCCGGCGAGUCUCCGGCAAAGCUCCGACGACCACCAAUCUCCUUGAAAACGUCGCAACUGCCUCUAUCUUUGCCGUCACAGCCCUCUGGCUAACCCCUGCCGCCACUAGUUGUCCCCAACGCAGCCCACGCGCCGUCAGACCCUCUCCCGUUGAUCCGACGAUCUCCUUCUUGGAUCUGCGACCCCUCUCUCUCCACCGAAGGCGUCCGUCAACGCCGGAUUUUAUUUUCUUCCUUCAAUUCUCUCCUCCUCUACCACCCAAACACCAACGCCGACAUUAUCCUCCUCCAAUCUCAUGGAUUUUGGGAGCAUUGUG